GUGCCGAUUGGUGCAUUUACAAUCCUUUAGCUAGACAGAAAAGUUCUCCAAGUCCCCACCAGACCCAGAAGCCCAGCAGCUUCACCUCUCAGUGGCACUCCUGGUGGGAUUUUGCGGCACCCAACCCAGGCACUCCAGCAGCCCAGAGGGAGCUCAUCCCCGAUCAAGCACAGCAGGGCCUGCGGAGCCCCCGUCCACCUGGAACCCACGCUGGCCGAGAGCACCCAGGUGAUGUUCAGGACCUAAACAGAAGACCUCAGCAAUACAUUCAACUGAGCCACCAGAGGCCGUAUAUAGAGAGAUACCAAAUGUGGGAAUCAAUACGGUGUUUAUGGGAAGGCAGAAAAUGAUGGUUAAGGACCUUAGGUGAGGAAUAGGAUCAGCUGCUGCACCGAGGGAAUCUCUAUCCACACCGGCUGUGAGUAGCGUAUGUGUGGCAGACAGUUCUCCUAGAAGAGGUGAAAAUUCACCUUGAAAAGAAAAGGUCUUCUUCAGUCUUGACGGUGAGACUACCAGCAGCCUGAUGAUGGCAGUGACCAGGAGUGGACAGGGUCUACUGAGACCCUCCCUGACCAUCUGGAAGGACUUGGUUCUUUACCUCUGGGAAGAAGACUGAGGGGCAUCGCAGGGGGCUCUGUAUGGGAUAGAUGGGAACGAAAAGAGUGGCAGUCGUGAUGGGGCAAGAGAAAGAGACAAGGCUGAAUCUGUCUACCACUGAGGGAGAGCUGGGGCUUUGCAUGCGCCAUCCCAAUGUGUCCUUUCAACCAUCCCGUGAAAGAGGAUGCUGCAUCAUGUAGAGAGAGAACGGAGAGAAAAGGGCCAGCCGUAGUUGGCCUGCAUGCUGACAUUGGGACCUGCUGCACCUGCACGGGUCACUUGAGAGUGAGGCUCUACCGACUCCCCUAUUUCAGUCUGUACUCCUUCUCAGACAGCUCACAAUGCUAGUGCCUGGGACCCAGGCCCACUGACCCUCUCCAGGCCCGCCUGACGCCCUCACCCUGUGCCUGGGCUCACUCAUCCUUCCCAUUCUUGGCUUCCAUGCUUUUGCAGCUGUCAAAGGAGUUGGAACUAAAAAGCAUGGUGAACUUCCCCACAGAAAGAGAAGAACAGUUGACUUUGGCAGUCUCUUGGUAGCGUAUCAUUUAUUAACUCACUGCAUGGCUGUUAACACAGUAAUCAUAGCUAGCACUUGUUGACCAUACAGUCUGGGCUUCGUAAUCCUCAUGGUGUCCUUGUGUAUUGGGCUGACACCCUUAUCAUUCUCCUUUUAUAAAUGAAAAAAUGGAGGCUUAGAAAAAUCAAUUAAUUUACACAAUGAAAAGGAUCUCAGCCUCAUUAGUGCUCAGGAAAUGCAAAUUCAAACUUCAAUAAGAUCCCUUUUACAUGGAUCAGAAUGGCAAAAUUAGUAAAUUGGACAAUAUCUGCUAUUGAUGAGAAUGUGAAGCAACAGAAACUCGUACACUCUCUUAAUGAGGGCAUAACUCACCACUUUGGAGGACAAUUUGCCAGUAUUUUAGUGAGGCGAGAAAGGGCCCACCUUAGGAUUCACCAGUCCCACUCCCCUGUGCUGAAGGCAUGUGCCCUGGAGGAGCUGUCACACGUGUCCACAAGGAAACCGGCACAGAAAUGCCUAUGACAGUGUUGUUUGUGAUAGCAAAAGAAUGGAAACAAUCUAAAUGUUUAUUAAACAAGAGAAUGCCAACAUAGACUGUGGUAUGGUUAUUACCAUGGAAUCCUACAUAGCAAUAAAGUAAAUAACCAGAGCUAGGCCUAUGAAAACAACUCCCAAACAUGUUGACUACA